UGAAGGUUUUUUUCUGACCCCAUCCCCUCAUGUUGCGGCGGACGGGUGAGUAACACGUGGGUAACCUGCCCGUAAGACUGGGAUAACUCCGGGAAACCGGGGCUAAUACCGGAUAACAUUUUGCCCCGCAUGGUGCAAAAUUCAAAGGCGGCUUCGGCUGUCACUUAUGGAUGGACCCGCGUCGCAUUAGCUAGUUGGUGAGGUAACGGCUCACCAAGGCAACGAUGCGUAGCCGACCUGAGAGGGUGAUCGGCCACACUGGGACUGAGACACGGCCCAGACUCCUACGGGAGGCAGCAGUAGGGAAUCUUCCGCAAUGGACGAAAGUCUGACGGAGCAACGCCGCGUGAGUGAUGAAGGCUUUCGGGUCGUAAAACUCUGUUGUUAGGGAAGAACAAGUGCUAGUUGAAUAGCCUGGCACCUUGACGGUACCUAACCAAAAAGCCACGGUUAACUACUUGCCACCAGCCGCGGUAAUACUUAGGUGGCAAGCGUUAUCCGGAAUUAUUGGGCGUAAAGCGCGCGCAGGUGGUUUCUUAAUUCUGAUGUGAAAGCCCACGGUUCACCCGUGGAGGGUCUUGGGAAACUGGGAAACUUGAGUGCAAAAAAGGAAAGUGAAAUUCCAUGUGUAGCGGUGAAAUGCGUAAAGAGAUGGAGAAACACCAUUGGCAAAGGCGACUUUCUGGUUUGUAACUGACCUGAGGGGCGAAACCGUGGGGAGCAAAACAGGAUAAAAUACCCUGGUAGUCCACGCCGUAAACAAUGAGUGCUAAGUGUAAAGGGUUUCCGCCCUUUAAUGCUGAAGUAACGCAUUAGGCACUCCCGCCUGGGGGAGUACGGGCCGCAAGCUGAAAACUCAAGAAAUUGACGGGGGCCGCGCACAAGCGGUGAAGCAAUGUGUUUAAUUCGAAGCACGCGGAGAAACCUUACCAGGGUCGUGACAAUCCUUCUGACACACCCUAAAGUGAGCGUCCCCUUCCGGGAAAGUGACAGGUGUAGCAUGGUGUCUUCAGCUCGGUCGUGAGAUGUUGGUUAGUUCCAGACCAAGGCACCCCUGACCUGAAGGCCUCAUCUAACUUGGACUCUCUAAGUGACUCGCCGGACCAACUGCAGAGACGUGACAUGAACUCACAUCAUCUAGCCUCUUAAGCUCUGUGUGCGUAACACGCGGUAUGUCAAAGUGUGACAGUCUA
rnacentral:rRNA from 2 species